rnacentral:lncRNA from 9 species
AUUCACAGUGGAAACACAGAUCAUAAGCAGGCCAGGCUCUUCCUCUGUUUUCAGUACUGCGACACGUCUUAAGGAAAACACUCCAGGCCAGGCAUCCCCUGCUGCAGGGCCGUGCCCUGGUCUCACCCGGCCUCCUCUCUUGGUUGUGGAACUCCAAAGCCGAGGCAGAGCACAGGGAAGGCUGCCCUAGCAGCUGCGAAGACUCCUUUUGUGCUGGGGACACUUUCAUCUUGUCCACUCUGGCCAGACUUCCACUCUGAGGAGACAACUCUGGAGGACCAGGAAGAGGGUGUUUGGAGAGUCACAACCCAGCCCCGCCAGCCACCGAAGAGGUUGGAGAAAGCUGGCUUGAUAAAAUAAUUUUUCCAAAAUUCUGAUCCUGUGAGAACAAAAAUGAGCCGAGGAGAAAACUUGAAGUUAACUCUUAUCGUGACCUUGAAAUAUAAAUGCAGUCCACUUGGCCUGAGACUUUGGCCUUGGGUUAAAUAGUAGAACUUCAAUCAAAAAUAAAUAAAUAAAUAAAUAAACAGGAAGAGGCUUUUAAAAGCUCAAGUAAGUAAAUUUAACUUAUUCUAACUGUUCUUUUUGAUUUUAUGUUUGCCGGAUGAAUUGCCAUGACAUGUGGAAUCAUGAUUCCCUAUUUUUCCUUUUCCGUAUUGUUUGUUUUAAAAAGAGAGAUCCUUGUUUAAAAAAGUGUUGGGCUUCACUCUUGUUUUUGUCCUGCAGGAAUGAGAUUUUGCUCUUUUUUUGUAUGUUUGCAUUUGUCUUAUGCAUGAGAGUGCCGGCUUUGGGAAAUUCAAAUUCAUUUCAUAUUGAAGUAUAUCCUCCAGAACUGGACCACUUUCGGUUACAAUCCAAUAUAGUAUUUAAAAAAAAUAUGAUUUCCUUUGUAAUAUGGCCUGGCCACAAUAAUCUACAGAUUAAAUUUUAAGAUAAAGCUAUGAGAUCUCUGUCUGUCUGGAUAUAUGUAUAUCUCUAUGUGUUUUUGUCUUUGGAUAAUAUUGCUGAAGUUAAUUUCUAGAUAAGCUCUAUUUAAUUUUUUUAAGGUAAGUGCUUAUAAACUACCCAUUUCUGGGAAAACUGGAUGGAUAUUCACAUGCAAAAGCAUGAAUCUGGACCCUUAUAUAACACCAUGUAUAAAAAUUACCUCUAAAUGGACCAAGAGCCUAAAUAAGAGCCACAUGGCAAAGCUGCCUUUCAGAAAUGAAGGGAAGAUAAAGACUUUUCAAGACAAACAAAAACUGAGGUAGUUUAUACCAGCUUUACAUGGAAUGUCAAAAGGAAUUAUUCAAGCUAAAAUGAAAGUAACUAAUUAGCAGCAUGUAAACAUGUGAAGGUAAGUAUAUAGCCAAAUUCAAAAUACCCUAAUACUAUCAUACAGUGGGGUAUGAACCACAUAACUCCAGUAGAAAGGCUAAAAAGGAUAAAAGUAUUAAAAAUAACUAUAGCCAAAAUAAUUUGUUAAUGGAUAUACAAAUAAAAAGAUGUAAAUUGUGACAUUAAAAAACAUAAAAUAGGGUGAGGGAGUGAAAGGUAGAGAUUGUAUAGAAUUGAAGUUAUCAACUUACAAUAGAAUAUUAUAUUUUACAUAAACCUCAUGAUAAUCACUGCAAAAACUUAUAGUAGGUACACAAAAGACAAAGGCAGGGGAAUCAAAGAAUACCAGCUAACAAAUCAAUUAGCAAAGGAAGACAGCAAGAGAGAAAGAAAAGAAAAAAAAAAA